rnacentral:ncRNA from 1 species
UUGAUGGCAGCAUGCAUUUUAUUAAGAUCAAAGUUAAUGUAACUAGAAUUAUUUUUGGUGGCAAACUUGAGAUUAGUGUAUACAGCAUUGUGCAACUUCGGGGUGGAGCGAAAGCGUGUACGUCGAGACCCGAAUGACAAUGAACUAUGCCUGUUAAUGUUGAGGCCACAGGGAACUCUGGUGGAAGUCUUUGAUAAUUUUAACGUGCAAGUCGAUCUUAUAAUGUUAGUUUUGAGGCGAAAAAGUAAUCGAACCGUCUAAUAGAUGG